UACAGAGGUCCCAAGCGUUGUUCGGAUUCACUGGGCGUAAAGGGUGCGUAGGUGGUGGGGUAAGUUUGAGGUGAAAGCUCCGGGCUCAACCCGGAAAUGGCCUUGAAGACUAUCCUGCUCGAGGGUUGGAGGGGGGACUGGAAUUCUCGGUGUAGCAGUGAAAUGCGUAGAUAUCGAGAGGAACACCAGUGGCGAAGGCGAGUCCCUGGACAACACCUGACACUGAGGCACGAAAGCUAGGGGAGCAAACGGG
rnacentral:rRNA from 1 species